rnacentral:rRNA from 1 species
UACGAAGGGUGCAGGCGUUACUCGGAAUUACUGGGCGUAAAGCGUGCGUAGGUGGUGAGUUAAGUCUGUCGUGAAAGCCCCGGGCUCAACCUGGGAAUGGCGAUGGAUACUGGCUCGCUAGAGUGCGGUAGAGGAGAGUGGAAUUCCUGGUGUAGCAGUGAAAUGCGUAGAUAUCAGGAGGAACACCGGUGGCGAAGGCGGGUCUCUGGGCAACAACUGACGCUGAGGAGCGAAAGCGUGGGGAGCGAACAGG